GCAAUGGGCGAAAGCCUGACCCAGCAACGCCGCGUGAGGGAUGAAGUAUUUCGGUAUGUAAACCUCGAAAGAAUGGGAAGAAUAAAUGACGGUACCAUUUAUAAGCUCCGGCUAACUACGUGCCAGCAGCCGCGGUAAUACGUAGGGAGCAAGCGUUGUUCGGAUUUACUGGGCGUAAAGGGCGCGUAGGCGGCGCGGUAAGUCACUUGUGAAAUCUCUGAGCUUAACUCAGAACGGCCAAGUGAUACUGCUGUGCUAGAGUGCGGAAGAAGCCACCGGAAUUCUUGGUGUAGCGGUGAAAUGCGUAGAUAGCAAGAGGAACACCUGGGGCGAAGGCGGGUUGCUGGGCCGACACUGACGCUGAUGCGCGAAAGCCAGGGGAGCAAACG
rnacentral:rRNA from 1 species